UCAAUGUCAUCUUUAGUCGAAGAAAACAAACAAGAAAUUUAUAAACAAUACGAGGCACCCUGCACAUUCCCAUUUGGCCUCUCACAAUAUCUUUGCCAAAAUUUGAAAGCGUCGCAAGCGCCACAAGGCAACACAAGGCAUAUCUUGUCGACUUCCAUGAUAAACAGUUUGUGAAAUAAGUUUUCUUUUAUAUUAACUAACUUAUAAUGAUUAUCUAAAAUUUCAUAUCAAGCUGAGCUGCUAAAGAAAAUUCAAUUGAUCAGAUUGGGUCUCCUAAUAAUUAAUUUGGACAAGGUAUCAAAAAAGAGGAAGCAGAAUCUCUUUCUUCAGAUGAAUGAAUAUUUGAACCUUUCAAUUGUUUCUUAAAUAUUUGUUUUAAUUAUUCUAAACCAACACACCAUAAUUAAGAAACGCUGCUGAUAUUAAGCGCACAAGGGUAUGGAAAAUUUACGAAAAAUGGGCGUAAAAAGACUCAACUUUUGAAGGAUUUUGUCUCUGUUUGAUUAAAUCGAAGCAAAUUUAGAAGCUAUUUUAAAAACCAUUCCAACCAACCAUUUAAUAUUUCCAUUGUGGUAUUUUUUAGUUUCGUGAUGCUAACGUGUAAAAUUUUACUAUAUUCGGCGUUAGCUUUACGUUCUUUUGAAGGUUAUAUGUACGUACAUACGUAAGUAAAAUUAAAUGUACAUUCAACAUAUGAACAUGCAUACAUAAAUAAAUUGAAUGUCAUAUUAAAAAUUUCGAUGCCAACGUCGAUAAAAAGACGCUAGUGUUUUACUUUUAACAAUUUAUACUGUAUUGAUUCUAUAAUAUACACAUAUCAUUUUGUUGCCAAAUGUUUCUAUUAUUUGGGGACCAUUGUUGAUAUGUAUAAAAAUUGUUUUCCAAGGAUUUCUUUAGUUCACAGAAACCGCCUUUAAAUUGUUUUCAAUAGUGUUCGUCAAAUGAUGUUUGGAAACAUACACACAUGAUGAUAAUUUGUCAUAAUUCCGAACAGAUUUAUUCCGUCUUAAACCGCUUCA